UCCAGACUCCUACGGGAGGCAGCAGUGGGGAAUAUUGCACAAUGGGGGAAACCCUGAUGCAGCGACGCCGCGUGAGUGAAGAAGUAUUUCGGUAUGUAAAGCUCUAUCAGCAGGGAAGAAAAUGACGGUACCUGACUAAGAAGCCCCGGCUAACUACGUGCCAGCAGCCGCGGUAAUACGUAGGGGGCAAGCGUUAUCCGGAUUUACUGGGUGUAAAGGGAGCGUAGACGGCAGAGCAAGUCUGAAGUGAAAGCCCGCGGCCCAGCUGCGGGACUGCUUUGGAAACUGCCCGGGUAGAGUGCUGGAGAGGUAGGCGGACUUCCUGGGGUAGCGGUGAAAUGCGUAGAUAUUAGGAGGAACACCAGUGGGGAAGGCGGCUUACUGGACAGUAAAUGACGUUGAGGCUCGAAAGCGUGGGGAGAAAACAGGAUUAGAUA
rnacentral:rRNA from 1 species